UCCUCUCCUGGUCCUUGGGCAAUCCUGCCAGGGAAUAACAAAUCCCGGGAGGAGAGGGAGGCUCGGAGCGUCCCGGUGUGCCCGGGCCAAAGGAGGCCGGGAAGAAAGCCGGGAAAUUCCCGUGGAAGGGUCGCCCUGUUGAGGCAGCUUUCCUCCGGGAAGGUGAAUUCCGCGUCCGUGGGAUUGGGUUUGCCAGCGUUCAGGAACGCUCAUAACCACGGGAUAGGAUUCCAUGCAGGUGCUUUGCUCGGGAGCUCUGGGAAUUCCGGGCUGCAGACCCAAAUCUGACUCCGAUUUUAUAUCCCAUCGUUAUAUAACUUACAUAUUCAUUAUUAAACUUACACUGGCCUAUUGUACACAUUGA